CUGUGGUGCAGUGUCCUACUCAGAAAGGUACUGAUCACUUAGAGGACAUGUAGUCACUGCCUUUCUGGGUAGAAUGAUGCCCAACAA
ncrna:Equus caballus (horse) microRNA eca-mir-8908f precursor (eca-mir-8908f-1)